UCCGCUUCGGGGAUCGUCCAGCAGCCCCUCUGUGACAUGGCUGCGUGGGUCAACACCCGGAGCCAGAUGG
rnacentral:snoRNA from 1 species